GAUGAACGCUGGCGGCGUGCCUAAUACAUGCAAGUCGAGCGAACAGACGAGGAGCUUGCUCCUCUGACGUUAGCGGCGGACGGGUGAGUAACACGUGGAUAACCUACCUAUAAGACUGGGAUAACUUCGGGAAACCGGAGCUAAUACCGGAUAAUAUAUUGAACCGCAUGGUUCAAUAGUGAAAGACGGUUUUGCUGUCACUUAUAGAUGGAUCCGCGCCGCAUUAGCUAGUUGGUAAGGUAACGGCUUAGCAAGGCAACGAUGCGUAGCCGACCUGAGAGGGGGAUCGGCCACACUGGAACUGAGACACGGUCCAGACUCCUACGGGAGGCAGCAGUAGGGAAUCUUCCGCAAUGGGCGAAAGCCUGACGGAGCAACGCCGCGUGAGUGAUGAAGGUCUUCGGAUCGUAAAACUCUGUUAUUAGGGAAGAACAAAUGUGUAAGUAACUAUGCACGUCUUGACGGUACCUAAUCAGAAAGCCACGGCUAACUACGUG
rnacentral:rRNA from 1 species